AUUGAACGCUGGCGGCAGGCCUAACACAUGCAAGUCGAGCGGAUGAAGGGAGCUUGCUCCUGGAUUCAGCGGCGGACGGGUGAGUAAUGCCUAGGAAUCUGCCUGGUAGUGGGGGAUAACGUCCGGAAACGGGCGCUAAUACCGCAUACGUCCUGAGGGAGAAAGUGGGGGAUCUUCGGACCUCACGCUAUCAGAUGAGCCUAGGUCGGAUUAGCUAGUUGGUGGGGUAAAGGCCUGCCAAGGCGACGAUCCGUAACUGGUCUGAGAGGAUGAUCAGUCACACUGGAACUGAGACACGGUCCAGACUCCUACGGGAGGCAGCAGUGGGGAAUAUUGGACAAUGGGCGAAAGCCUGAUCCAGCCAUGCCGCGUGUGUGAAGAAGGUCUUCGGCUUGUAAAGCACUUUAAGUUGGGAGGAAGGGCAGUAAGUUAAUACCUUGCUGUUUUGACGUUACCAACAGAAUAAGCACCGGCUAACUUCGUG
rnacentral:rRNA from 1 species